rnacentral:rRNA from 1 species
UACGUAGGGAGCAAGCGUUGUUCGGAUUUACUGGGCGUAAAGGGCGCGUAGGCGGUCAGCACAAGUCAGUUGUGAAAUCUCCGGGCUUAACUCCGAAACUGCAUUCGAUACUGGCGUGCUUGAGGACUGGAGAGGAGACUGGAAUUCAUGGUGUAGCAGUGAAAUGCGUAGAGAUCAUGAGGAAGACCAGUGGCGAAGGCGGGUCUCUGGACAGUUCCUGACACUGAGACACGAAGGCCAGGGGAGCAAACGGG